AGCAGCCGCGGUAAUUCCAGCUCCAAUAGCGUAUAUUAAAGUUGUUGCAGUUAAAAAGCUCGUAGUUGAAUUUCGGGAUUGACGUGAUGGUCGUGCCUUACGGGGUAUGAACUGUUGCUGUUGAUUUCUCACCUUCUGGAGAAACUUGAUGUCCUUAAUUGGGUGUCUUGCGGAUCCAGGACCUUUACCUUGAAAAAAUUUAGAGUGUUUAAAGCAGGCAUUUUUGCUCGAAUACAUUAGCAUGGAAUAAUAGAAUAGGACGGCAUGGUUCUAUUUUGUUGGUUUCUAGGACCACCGUAAUGAUUAAUAGGGAUAGUUGGGGGCAUUAGUAUUCAAUUGUCAGAGGUGAAAUUCUUGGAUUUAUUGAAGACUAACUACUGCGAAAGCAUUUGCCAAGGAUGUUCUCAUUAAUCAAGAACGAAAGUUAGGGGAUCGAAGACGAUCAGAUACCGUCGUAGUCUUAACCAUAAACUAUGCCGACUAGGAAUCAGACGAUGUUAAUUUUUUUAAUGACUCG
rnacentral:misc_RNA from 1 species